rnacentral:misc_RNA from 1 species
AGCAGCCGCGGUAAUUCCAGCCCCAAUAGCGUAUAUUAAAGUUGUUGCAGUUAAAAAGCUCGUAGUUGAAUUUCGGGAUCAAAGGAUCGGUCAUGCCUUGGUAUGUACUGGUUUUAUUGGUUCUCACCUUCUAAAGAACCAUAAUGUCAUUCAUUUGAUGUUAUGGGGAAUUAGGACUGUUACCUUGAAAAAAUUAGAGUGUUUAAAGCAGGCUUACGCUUGAAUACAUUAGCAUGGAAUAAUGAAAUAGGACAUCAGAUUCUAUUUGUUGGUUUCUAGGAUCGAUGUAAUGAUUAAUAGGGAUAGUUGGGGGCAUUAGUAUUCAAUUGUCAGAGGUGAAAUUCUUGGAUUUAUUGAAGACUAACUACUGCGAAAGCAUUUGCCAAGGAUGUUUUCAUUAAUCAAGAACGAAAGUUAGGGGAUCGAAGACGAUCAGAUACCGUCGUAGUCUUAACCAUAAACUAUGCCGACUAGGGAUCGGUGAUGUUAAUUUUAUAAUGACUCAUUCGGCACCUUAC